GUAGCUGGUCUGAGAGGAUGGUCAGCCACACUGGGACUGAGACACGGCCCAGACUCCUACGGGAGGCAGCAGUGGGGAAUAUUGGACAAUGGGGGGAACCCUGAUCCAGCAAUGCCGCGUGUGUGAAGAAGGCCUGAGGGUUGUAAAGCACUUUCAGUGGGGAGGAGGUAUUUCAGGUUAAGAGCUAGGGAUAUGGACGCUACCCACAGAAGAAGCACCGGCUAACUCCGUGCCAGCAGCCGCGGUAAUACGGAGGGUGCGAGCGUUAAUCGGAAUUACUGGGCGUAAAGGGUGCGUAGGUGGUUGUAUAAGUUAUCUGUGAAAGCCCUGGGCUUAACCUAGGAAGGCCAGAUGAGACUGUAUAGCUAGAGUAUAG
rnacentral:rRNA from 1 species